rnacentral:rRNA from 1 species
AGGGUUUGAUUAUGGCUCAGGAUGAACGCUGACAGAAUGCUUAACACAUGCAAGUCAACUUGAAUUUGGGUUUUUAACUUAGAUUUGGGUGGCGGACGGGUGAGUAACGCGUAAAGAACUUGCCUCACAGCUAGGGACAACAUUUAGAAAUGAAUGCUAAUACCUGAUAUUAUGAUUUUAAGGCAUCUUAGAAUUAUGAAAGCUAUAGGCACUGUGAGAGAGCUUUGCGUCCCAUUAGCUAGUUGGAGAGGUAACAGCUCACCAAGGCGAUGAUGGGUAGCCGGCCUGAGAGGGUGAACGGCCACAAGGGGACUGAGACACGGCCCUU